AGAAUUUCAAAAACUUUGGAGAAGUGUUCCUGUGGAUUCUAUGGAUGAAGAGAAGAUAGAAGAAUAUCUGAAACGCCAGGGCAUUUCUUCCAUGCAAGAUGUAGGCCCAAAGAAAAUAAUUCCUAUCCAGAAGAGGAGGAAGCCAGCUUCUCAGAAGAAACGGAGGUUCAAAACUCACAAUGAUCAUUUGGCUGGUGUAUUGAAGGAUUAUUCCGAUGUAGCUCCUGCCAAAUAAAUUGGUCUUCUGAACUGAACUGUUACGUUGAUGUGGAUGCUUGGGACAGAUGUCCUUUGUAUAGCCGAUGUGGUUCUUUCCUCUUCCACUUCUGUAGCGGAUGAAAAGUAACAACUUUUGGGAUCAAGAAUAAACUAUUCGUCGUAACAUUUACUUUACUGGUUAAUAUAAACUUGGAUCAGAGCCAUUAUUAUCAGUAGACUUCUGAUAUUGAAUUAUAUUUAGCAUGAAAUGCUAAGGUUCAUGUUCAUCAGUUAAAAUUUCUUUGAAGAAUUCUUUGGCAUUCUAUGAGAGUUUUAUUCAGCUGGGUUAACCUAUAUAAAUCUCAGAUUUUUGAUGUCAAGAAAACAUGUUUAUAAUAAAAUCAUUCAAAAAAGUU